rnacentral:precursor_RNA from 15 species
CCGGACGAGCAGAUGGGGUCCAACCCAACCUCAUCCAAACUGGGCACACUGUCCCAUAUAGCCAGGAUAUGCGUCCUCUUUGGAUAUUGUUGGGUGAGACGGGAAUCAUGGCACAACUG